CCUGGGGCACUCGCUGACUGCUAGAUUCGCUGCUACGUUUUUUUCAAAAAAAAAUUGCUUUUCGAUCCUUUCUCCUUGUAACUCCACUUUUAUUUCCUCUGCAGCCUUUGUUUUGGACUUGCUCACUCCUGUAAUAGCUCGCUUUUUAAUACAACUACGUUAUUCGGUCGCUCCUGGAAAUUUUGUCCUUUCGAAUGGUUUGACUUCUCCCUUACUUGCAUCAGGUGGGUUACUGCUGCAUUUUUUAUCCGGGGGCCCUGGUCUGCUGGGAGCUCGGACCGAUGUUUCAGUGUGUGUCCCCGGGCUGGGACCAUUAACCUAAUUGGGAGAAGGAGACCUAGGAAUCUAGGAUCUAUUGGCCACAAAAAACGAACAAGUUCAUCAAUCUCUUCCUGCACAUAGUCAGUAAAAGAGGCCAUUGAUGAAGCACUGAAUCUGCUACCAAGAGGUUCUGGAGUCCACGACGCGCGCUCUACGUCAAAUCCCGUCAGAGGAGAAUAGUCGAU
rnacentral:lncRNA from 1 species